UUCAAGAGGAAGGGGGGAAGUUUCCUUUGUCUCAGUGUUAGUUUCAGGUUUGUGCCGGAGUGAGAAGACCCAGGAACCAAACAGGGUACAUGUCCCAUCACUGACCCUGGGGUGACUGGACCGGUGCUGACAGAGCCCAGCUGUAUGUAGCCAAGGACAAGCCACACUCAGGAGUUCCAGGCACUGGGGUGAAACCCAGCAUGAAGAACCUUCUGGGAGCCAUUAAAGAUCAGAGAUCCAAGAACCUUUUCCCCUUCAUUUAACCCUGGUCUAUCUGGGGUGGGGAAGGUAAUUUACUCCCUCUCACUAACCAUCAUCCAGAGCUCUGCGAACAGGAAUCGUGUCUGAAAUCCUCACCUUGCCCUGAUAGGCUGGGAAUGAAAUAGCCUGGACAGUGCCUAGAUCAGGGAUCGGCAACCUUUCAGAAGUGCUGUGCCGAGUCUUCAUUUAUUCACUCUGAUUUAAGGUUUUGCAUGCCGCUAAUACAUUUUAAUGUUUUUAGAAGGUCUCCUGUAAGUCUAUAACAUAUAACUGAACUACUGUUGUAUGUAAAGUAAAUAAGGUUUUUAAAAUGUU